UACGUAGGGAGCAAGCGUUGUCCGGAAUCAUUGGGCGUAAAGCGCGCGUAGGCGGCCCUGUAAGUCCGUUGUGAAAGUCAAAGGCUCAACCUUUGAAAGCCGAUGGAUACUGCAGGGCUAGAGUCCGGAAGAGGCGAGUGGAAUUCCUGGUGUAGCGGUGGAAUGCGCAGAUAUCAGGAGGAACACCAAUAGCGAAGGCGGCUCGCUGGGACGGUACUGACGCUAAGGCGCGAAAGCGUGGGGAGCGAACAGG
rnacentral:rRNA from 1 species